CCCCGAGAUAGCCCUAUUAGGUAAUAGACCAAGUCCAUAUUAUGGCAAGAACUGCUCAAAUAAGCAAAGAGAAAUGACAGUCCAUCAUUACUUUAAGACAUGAAGGUGCCAUCCCGGGCUUCAUGCUGGGUGUGUUCGAGAUCCCUCUAAAUGAUUGUGAGGAGCUCUACAGGAGCUGGGUUCUGACGCCUUCAAGCAGAACGUCAUCGUUGGCACCAUCAAGAUGGGCUGGAGCCAUUUCUUCUGCGACUCGCAGACCUUGGAGCAAAUCCUCAAAGAGAAAAUGGGCUCUCAUGGUGGAAACAUCAAGAAACUCCAAAUGCCCAAAGUUAAGCUUUGACACAUGGUAUGACUCAUUUACACUCUCUGGAGUGUGGCGCUGAUGAUCACACACACACACACACACACACACACACACACACACACACACACCCUCUCAUGGAUGGCAAGGUGGACAGUGAGGAAGGCCUUCACGAUCUCUAAAAGGUCCUAGUAGUCAUUUUUAUUUCAAUAUCAAAUCAUUUCUGGGUAACAAUUGAGUACCUAACUGUGAUUGUUUUCAAUUAUGGUCAAAAAUAAACAAAAAUAGAUUUUUAGCGAAGGGCAAUUUCUCAAGCAACAAUUUUGCUAGGACUGCCUGGGAUUGGUCUGAGCAGAGAGGCGAACACUGAAAAUGUGCUUUUCUUGGCAGAGGGAUUUGGAACUCCCUUAGUGUUUUUACACGUAGUCCCUUUCAGCAAAAUGUUUGUGAACUCAGUGCAGGAACUCAAACCCCUCAAAAGAGCCCCCGAAACUAACUGAACUGAGAGCCAUCUCGAGAGGGGGUCUGAGUUUGGGUUCCCUUUAAUAGGACAAUGUGGACAUGAAGCUCCCCAGGUUCCCUUGUCAUUAUUCCCGCCCCACACCUAGAUUACUGCAAACGUUGUUUCCCCUGGCAUAAGCCCUCACAUUGGUGCCAAAAGAGAGAGAAGAUGAUGUACAGGUUCAAGCAAAAAAACGUGUGCCGUUUUUGAAUGUUGAUUAACGAUUGUCAAGGAUGCUUAGAAAUUCCAGAAUAUGUGUGGUUUUUAGUUCAAAUGAUUUGUUUUCAAUAUGUGAUCUGUAGGCUAAGAGAGCUUCUCAAGCUGUUUAGUCGAUUGUGGGGUUUGAAUAGUGUGAAAAGUCAACAACAUAUUUGGUGAGAAUCACAACCAUAUCUAUUUUAGCUCUUAAAGGGGCAGUAGCCUACAUUGAGUAUACCAUUUUUUAAGUACAACAUUGUGUAAUCUGCAGUUAUUCUUCUGCUAUUUAGUUACCAAUCAUUUUUGCAUGUUAACAGUAUCCUCGGAUUACAAUUAUUGUCUUAUAUUUGAACUAAAUGCAAUCUAUUGCCUCCCAAAAUAUAAGUUGGUGUAUCAAGCUGUCUGAUAACACAUUUUGAUGGAAUGGCUUGUCCAGCACAAUGAAAAACUCAGAAUGCAUUGAGUGAAAAAAUAUAUUGUUUCCUUUCUAAACAUAUCAAUGUGAAUUCAAAGAGGACUCGGAUCACAGAAUAGUUAAAGUGAACUGACAAAAGAGUUGAGUCCUCAUUCAAGGGAAGGAUGCAUUGAGAAUACAAAGGUACAGUAACUGAGUUAUUUAGCUUUUUAUUUAUUUUUUUACCCCAGUGUUCACUUUAGAGAUCCUGAGAUCGGUUCUUUUAAAGAAGAUUAUAUGUGAAAACACCCUUGGUUUAACACAUUUUCCACAUGGUGAUAACACCACGGAAGGCCUAAACUCCAUCCUACCAAAACAGCCUGAAAUUUCAAGCAGUCUUUUCAAACAACUUUUACGCAUAAAGGGCAUUGUCAAUCAAAUCAAAUGAAAUUGUACUUGUCACAUGUGCCGAAUACAACAUAGACCUUACAGUGAAAUGUUUAUUCACAAGCCCUUAAGCAA